rnacentral:rRNA from 1 species
UACGUAGGGGGCGAGCGUUGUCCGGAGUUACUGGGCGUAAAGCGCGCGCAGGCGGCGGUGUAAGCAUGGCGUGAAAGCCCCAGGCUCAACCUGGGAGGGUCGUCGUGGACUGCACCGCUUGAGGGCGGUAGGGGCUGGUGGAAUGCCUGGUGUAGUGGUGAAAUGCGUAGAGAUCAGGCGGAACACCCGUGGCGAAGGCGGCCAGCUGGGCCGUCCCUGACGCUGAGGCACGAAAGCGUGGGGAGCAAACAGG